GUCCACGCCGUAAACGAUGAGUGCUAGCUGCUGGGAAUGUUUACCGUCUCAGUGGCGAAGCUAACGCAUUAAGCACUCCGCCUGGGAAGUACGGCCGCAAGGCUAAAACUCAAAGGAAUUGACGGGGCCGCACAAGCGGUGGAGCAUGUGGUUUAAUUCGAAGCAACGCGCAGAACCUUACCCAGGCUUGACAUCUCGGGAAUCCCGCCGAAACGCGGGGUGGCCUUCUCACGAAGGAGCCCGAUGACAGGUGCUGCAUGGCUGUCGU
rnacentral:rRNA from 1 species